rnacentral:rRNA from 1 species
UACGUAGGCAGCAAGCGUUGUUCGGAGUUACUGGGCGUAAAGGGUGUGUAGGCGGCUUUAUAAGUCGGGGGUGAAAGCCUGUGGCUCAACCACAGAAUUGCCUUCGAUACUGUAGAGCUUGAGACCGGAAGAGGUAAGUGGAACUGCGAGUGUAGAGGUGAAAUUCGUAGAUAUUCGCAAGAACACCAGUGGCGAAGGCGGCUUACUGGUCCGGUUCUGACGCUGAGGCGCGAAAGCGUGGGGAGCAAACAGG